rnacentral:rRNA from 1 species
UACAGAGGGUGCGAGCGUUAAUCGGAAUUACUGGGCGUAAAGAGCACGUAGGUGGUUUAGUAAGCGGAAUGUGAAAGCCCAGGGCUCAACCUUGGAACUGCAUUCCGAACUGCUAGGCUAGAGUAUGGUAGAGGUAAGCGGAAUUUCCUGUGUAGCGGUGAAAUGCGUAGAUAUAGGAAGGAACAUCAGUUGCGAAGGCGGCUUACUGGACCAAUACUGACACUGAGGUGCGAAAGCGUGGGGAGCAAACAGG